rnacentral:rRNA from 1 species
ACGGAAGGCAGCAGUGGGGAAUAUUGGGCAAUGGGCGAAAGCCUGACCCAGCAACGCCGCGUGAAGGAAGAAGGCCUUCGGGUUGUAAACUUCUUUUACCAGGGACGAAGGACGUGACGGUACCUGGAGAAAAAGCAACGGCUAACUACGUGCCAGCAGCCGCGGUAAUACGUAGGGGGCAAGCGUUAUCCGGAUUUACUGGGUGUAAAGGGAGCGUAGGUGGCCAUGCAAGUCAGAUGUGAAAUCCCGGGGCUCAACCCCGGAGCUGCAUUUGAAACUGCGUAGCUAGAGUGCAGGAGAGGUAAGCGGAAUUCCUAGUGUAGCGGUGAAAUGCGUAGAUAUUAGGAGGAACACCAGUGGCGAAAGCGGCUUGCUGGACUGCAACUGACACUGAGGCUCGAAAGCGUGGGGAGCAAACAGGAUUAGAUACCCUGGUA